rnacentral:lncRNA from 1 species
GAAUCACGGGCGUUGCGCUUGGGGUCGGUGGCGGAGAAGACCGUGUAGACGAGCACGAAGGUGCCGAUGAUCUCGGCCGCUAGACCGGUGCCCUUGGAGUAGCCUGCGCUGAGCUCGUUGGCGCCACCGCCGUACCGCACGUAGUAGGAGCUCUGGAAGCCCUUGACAAGGCCGACGCCGCAGAUGGCGCCGAGGCACUGCGCGAUGAUGUAGAGCAGCGCCCGGAUGAGCGACACCUUCCUCGCCAGGAACAACCCGAAGGUCACCGCCGGGUUGAUGUGUCCACCUAUGCAUCGUGAAGAGAGAACGCGGGUCAGUCACACGCAUGUGCAUGAUGCAUGCAUACAUGCAGUUAGUAUGCGCGAGAAGUUAAGAGAACUAGUGGUCGAUCGACGGACGGACCUGAGACGCCGGCGGUGCAGUAGACGAGGACGAAGAUCAUGCCGCCGAAGGCCCAUGCUAUGCCGAGGAUGCCGACGCCGCUGCAGGCCGCGUCGGUGGUGUUGACGGUGGGGUCGGACUGGUGCUUGUACCCGAUGACGGUGGCCACGGUGAUGUAGAGGAAGAGGAGCGUGGCGACGAACUCGGCGAUCACCGCGCGGUACAGCGACCACUUGGUCAGCUCCUCGAAGUCCACGAUCGGCGCCGGGGGCGGGUCCGAGUAGUCCUUGCUGGAGAACUCGCCCCCUUGGGGUGCCGCCUCAAUGUCCUUGGCCAUUGCUAAGCUAGCUCAACCUAGUGCCCUCUAGCUUGAACGGUGCUUGCUGCAGUUGUUCAGUGUGAGGAGAAAGGGGAGGGCCGGUCAGGUAUAUAUGGGACGUGAGAGGGUGGCUCGUGCCGGGGAGAGGACGAGCUCAUCAUCAGCUCGAGUUUGGCCUGUUAAGGGGGGAGGCAGAUUGAUUAUUAGCGAGGGAUAAGGUUUUCUGCUUAGUUUUUGGGAGGUUUUGGGUUAUAAUUUGCCGCCCACAACCGACUAUAGCAUCAUCGUUAGGUCGUUUUCGGAGCCUAACGAACUGGUGGCUAGUGAUCAAUUGGAGGGGAGGGGCUGUUUUCUAAGGUAUGUGCAGUGCAGUGCAGUGCAGUGCGCUUACGUUGCUGCUGUACCGCCCUGGAAAAAAGAAUAUGCAGAAAGUUCAGAAAGCGCACCAAAGUGUUCUACUCUCGUUGCUUCUCGUUGCUGGUCACUGGCAAGCAACACAUCAUCAGUGAUGGCAAAAAAAAAAGAGAGGAUAUAGCGACCUUUAUCUAGGGGCGUGUAGAGUUAGCAUGGGUUUUGCAGAUGUCUUGGAACGAUCAACGAUGUGUCCGUUCCAAAUGCAUGCAUGCAUAUGCAGCUCCAAGUAACUUUUGCUGUAGCGCCGACUACUCCCGACAAUUUGGCAGUCCUACCUUUCAGAAAACAAUUCAGUAUACACAGACAAUGACAGGAAUUUCAACAGGUUCAGUAUAUACAUGCUUAUCCACCAAUGGAGAUGCCCAGAAACUUGAUUGCCACCAAUAACAAACAAGGACAGCGAAUCAUCGCUAAGACAGACAGCUCGCGCAGCUACUCUGCAAAUGGAGAUUCCUAACAGUAGCCUGAUUAGUUGCAGCCUGCAAGCUGUAUGACGUGAAGGCAUAAUAAGCUGCUCCCCCGCUCUUCUCCCCCCUUGCAGAAAACGUGCUCCCGAAAUUUGAAGCCCGGCUGGUUAGGUCUCGCCUUUGUGCUUACGGAGAAAUCGUGAACCAUCGGUGGUCGCUUUCUCUGAUCAAGACAAGUAUAACAACGAAACAGAUAGGCGCAGAACGUUCCUGUCUGCGAAUAUUUCUAGUAUAGUACGUAUACUCUACUACGGUGGAGUGGGCCCCUCGACCGAUGACAUCUCCUCCAUUUUCCUUUCCCUCCCGCUACAACUCGUUCCCUGUAACGAACUCCCUCGAGAUGCACAACGUACGUAUUCUCAUACGUCCAUACGGCUCCUACUGGGACACGUGGGACAACAGAGACCUUCAGAUUUACGGUAUCCACAUCAGCCGCGCGCGACCAGCCAAUCCGGCGGUGCCACCUACGAUCAUGUGGCUGGAAAGCACCGGGCGGCUCGGGUCGCUCUCACGGCCCAAUCAUUCAGAUUUUAGGAGAUGCACCCGUCGACGUAGCUAGCAGCUAGUACUACAACUGUGAUGCGGCUCGGACUUUAUGCCGACGCAGGACAAGAGCUUGUUCUUGCACGCAAAAGAAACAAGAGCUCACACAUUGCAUGUAAAAUUUACAUCUUUGUGUGAAAAGAAUGUAUUAAAAUCGUUAAGAUACAACUCUCAGCCUCUACACUAAUACGAUCUUAGAAGCACCUAGCAACUCCAACGCGCCGAUUCAAACGGACAAUAUUUUUGUCCUUGGGUCUGCCGUCCGUUCGACGUCCGUCGUAUUUAACAUUUAGAUUGGUAAUGCGUCCAACGUCCGGGAUUUAAAUUUAUUGACGUGAUCGGCUGUCCGUCCCUUUUCAACAAAUAUGAGCACGUUUUGCAUUAUUUAACAAGCAGACGUAUAAAAAAUAGCAUAGUUUCACAAUCAAAUAAAACAUAGUUUUUAAAUAAAUAAGUAUAGUUUUACAAACUGAAUAAAAAUUAAAUUGUCUUAAAUACAUAUUAAAAAAGAUACAUCUAUUGGUUGUCAACAUGAGCCCACAUAUGCUCAACCAAAUCAUUUUGCAGCUCCACGUGAGUUUCUCAAUCACACAUUCAUAAUGAAAUUGGAUGAACUGUUCAAACGUUGUCGUUCCUCCAUGCUCAUGCACAAUAUUGUCAUCCUGAAACUGAAACCCUUGAUUGUAUAUACAUUCCAGACGCUCAUCUUUUACAAUUAUAUUAUGCAUAAUCACACAAGUUGUCAUCACCUCCCACAGCUUUUUGGUGCUCCAAGUCCUAGCAGGGUACCAAACGAUGUCCCAUCGAGAUUGCAAAACGUCAAAGGCACGCUCGACGUCCUUCCUAGCACUCUCUUGCUCUUGGGCAAAUCUUUUCCUCUUCUCUCUGACAGGGUGAGGGAUUGUCUUCACAAUAGUGGUUCACUGAGGAUAGACACCGUCACCUAGGUAGCAUCAUUUAUCUUAGUUAUGGUUGUUGAUGGUAACAUUCACCGGUGGUCUGUUGCCUUCCGCAAGCCUUGCAAACACCGACGAGCGUUGAAGCACGUUGAUAUCAUUAUGUGAUCUGGCCAUGUCGAAAAAAGAAUGUCAGAUCCAAAGAUCUUGUGAGGCCACAACCUCAAGUAUGACAGUGCAAGCCCUCACAUGACCCUUAGAUUGCCCUUGCCAAGAGGUAGGGCAAUUCUUCCACUCACAGUGCAUGCAGUCUAUGCUGCCAAGCACCCUGGGAAGCCCCUGCUGGCAUUCAUCGCCAACAAGCGGACUGUAUCUUGAGGAGUCGGCUCUCUCAAGUACUAAGAGCCAAAUACAACAAUCACAGCCUUGCAGAACAUGAACAUGAACUCUAAGCAUGUAUACUCGCUCAUACGGACGUACUCAUCAAUGAGAUCACCGGACACUCCGUAUGCAAGCAUUCGGAUGGCUGUAGUGCAUUUCUGAUAAGAUGAGAAGCCAAUGCUUACACGAUGAUAAUCUUUGCACUCGAAAUAGUUAUCGCAUCCAAUCACCCCAUCUCUAAUAUGGUUGAAAACAUGCCUAGCCAUACGGAAACGCCACCAAAAUUUCUGAUGUUUUACUAGCAGGUUGGUUGUGUCAAAGUAGUCCUUCCAAAGAAGGAAAUGACCGUUCUCUCGGUUACGAUUCAACGCCGGAAGGUGUCCCGGGAUCGAGCCACAGAACAACGAUCGCCAGCUAUUAAGGUGAUGAUGGACCAACACGAUAGCCAAGAUCUCCUCCUCGUCAUCGGACGAAGAAUCGUCGGAGUCGCAAAGAAAAUAUGGAAAAAGAACUCGUCGGCGGAGUCCAUUUUGUACCUUGACAAAGUGUCGAACAACUUGUGGGUCGUCAAAGGAGCUGGCCGACGAAGAGAAGUGUGCCUCCCUUGGACCAGGUGGCUGGCCUAGAGAAGUCCCGACAGCGAGAAGGUGAUGGCGGAAAUGUGGCGACGUUGGAGGAGGUGUGUCGGCACCGGCAAAUGGGCGGCGGCGACGAUGCGUCGGAGGCGGACGAGGGUUGGCUGUCGAAUGGGUUGGGAAAGAAUGACAAUGUGACCGACUAGCGGGCAGGGGAAGGAGUAGGCGGGCGCCGCGCGCGUCCGUCUCGUGUCUGUACCGACGUAAAUCAGUAUAAAAAAUGAGCCGGAAAUGUAUCGGCAAGCGGACGAAAAGCGGACGCGUUUCCAUUUGAAUCGACGCGUUGGGUUGACUUUUUUAUCCGCCGCGAUGCAAACGAACGCGCGCGGAUGAAAUGGAUCGACGCGUUAGAGUUGCUCUAAAACAUCGCAGAUACACAUAACCAAAUUAUUAUAAAAGAAAACGACCAUUAAUUCUAACAUCGUGACAAAACAACUCACAUCAGAUGAUGGAUUUUCAUUCGAUCUAAGUAAAUUCUAUGCAAUGCCUUCAAUAUAGAAACGCUAGAUGAACGACGCGGCAAUAUGUAAAUGUACUAUUGUGUAAGCAUUGGCGCUCACAUAUUGCCGAGAUUGUCCACUGAAUUCUUCUUCAUUUCGCUGUCCUACCGACCGACAGCGAUCGGUCUUGUGCAAACAUGGGAAUAUUUGAGGCUGGAUUGCCAAAUGGACAGCGAGCCAAUGAAAUGACACACGCGAACGAACUCCUUGGAUGCCACCUUGUACAACUUGUUUUGGUCUGAGGCAAAUAAUGCUACGCCUCAUCAAGUGUUAUUCCUGUUCUGCUGGGUAAAGCCAUAUAAAGUUAUAAAAGUAAGAACCGUUUUACAUAUGUCGACCUUAGACCAUAUAUGGCGAGACCCCUUAUAUUGGUCUUAUAUGUCCAAGCGUACGUCCCGGUCACAGACUAGUUAAAAAAAUUUGCAACCCAAUCAGCCCCUUAAACCAACUCUAUACGCUCGGUUCGGUUUGACCGACACCCCUCAUAUCCAUUUCAUAUCUAAGACAUAUAUGAGGAGGCAUGACGUGUCCGGACGCACCCACCACAUCAGACCACACAGAAGGGACCCAUCAUAAAUGUCAUAAAGUCGCCCUCAACCUAGCCGGGUCGGGCCUGCCCUUAUCCCUUCCUUUCUUCUCCCUCGUCUGCAUCGCCCUCCCCUAGCUCUGCGGCCACCCGAGGUCCACCGCCAUCCCAAGCCCAUAGUGUCGCCACCACCAGCAAAAGAACUCCUCCCCACCAUUCUUGUGGCCCUAGACACGGAUGUCAUCCUAGACGCGUAGUCGUACGUCCCACUCCUUUCGGCAUACACCUUGUGUGCUAUGUGUUCGACAAAAUAUGCGGACAAUUUUUUUUUGUAUAUUUUUUGCGCACAAACCGAUGGAUUUGUUUGGUUUGUCGAAUGAAGAGUGUCCAAACAAGGAGCGUGAUGAAUUCAUUCACAAAGAGUUCUUUGAUACUUUGGAUUCGAACGACAAAGGUGCUGACUUGAUGGUGAUGAUCAACAUCUAGGAGCAAAUCGAGAGGGAAGUGGAGCACAUUCUAAACUUCAAGGGUUCAAUCAAAGUAAGGGGGAGAGGUCUAAACUAGGAUAGGGUCGUUGGUGUAUUGGCGCUCUACAAGGACUACCUCCAACCCACACCAGCAUUCCCAAAUACAUUUUUUCGUCGAUGCUUCCUUAUGCGCAAACCCUUGUUCUUGUGUGUGGUGGAAGGAGGAGAGGCACAUGAUCGCUACUUCAAACUCAUCAUCGAUUGUUGCGAACAACUCUCGUCCUCCCCUUUGCAGAAAUGCACAACUGCUCUAAUUAAAGGAUGCUUGCAUUAGGUACCGCUAUCGAUGCCGUUUGUGAAAUGGCCGACAUGAUGGAGAGCACAUGACUUGAUACCACUGUGAGAUUUCCCUGCGUUGUGGUGAAGGUGUUUGGAUCAGAGUUCUUGAGAGAUCCAACUAUGCAGGAUAUGGGAAUGUUGAUGGCUACCGGAGUGGCAAUAGGUUUUUCAUAGAUGCUCGGUUGAGUUGAUUGCAUGCAUGCAUUGGUGUUAGAAUACUCCGACACGCAUAGUCGAUCUACCGAGGACCAACCAAUCAGACGUGACACAACAUCGAUAUUUGUUAACGAGGUUCACCAAUAUGGCUACAUUGACAAGGCGUGGCUAAGAGCGCUCCUCCCUAUGAUGCCACUUCAAUACCGCACACCGGGAACUUGAGCAUCGCACACGCCGUUGAUCCAAUGUAUGUAUGUGUUAUUAUGUUAGCAUAGUUUACGUCGUGUGUUUACCCUCACAUUAUAGGAGGCCUAGGAUACAAGUGUCCUAUUAGGACAUGACUCUUACCAUGUCUCCAGACAGUUCAAAUCCAGGUCCAACUAUAACCCAGCAUGUACAUAUAUAUUCAACACAAUCCCAACAAACUCCACCUUGGCGAAUUUUCUGCAUCACCUUGGAUUAAUACAAGCGUCAAACCUUCACGUACAAUGGAUUUAGAUUAUACCAUGAACACCUCUACUACUCGCAGACUUCAUGUGACUAUACCUGCAAUUGUAGUCCCUUCUUGUCUUCUUCACAAUCAACACUUGAGCAAAAUUACGUUACUCUAAUUUGUGCGCCCAACUUUUGAAGUAUUCGUCAACGCCAUCACACAUUGAUCAUUGUAUAUGUGAAAGUGGGCAACUCAUGUAUUGGUGUUAGAAAAUGUAGUAGAAAUAAAUCGACGUACGAUCAACCAGUGACACUAUGAAGAUACAAUAACGAUUAGAAUCAGAUCAUUACUAACUCCGGUUUGCGGUGGAAGAAGAUGAGUCGGUGUAGAUUGUUGAUGAAGUCCCUCGAACCAUCGAUGAACGAUCCCGUGUGCCGCCCACGAGAAAUCCCUCGAACGUAAGAUUGAGAUCACGACCUCGGUACGAGUUGCAAGCAUACGGUCUUCACGGUCCGGGAGCGCUUCGCCAUCCAAAGAUAACCGUCACUUGCGAAUUAGAGGAGGGAUAUUAGAACCACACUGGGUUUCCAAUUAUGAGCAUUAAAGGAUCCAGGUCUAAUUCCAAUUGAUCAACUAGGACCAACUAGAACUAGAACUAGAGAACUAGAGGAGGCUUCAAAACUUGUGUCUAAAAGUGCCAAUAGCCACUAGUAUAUAUAGGUUGAAGGGAGGGGUGAGGGGCGCCACAAGGGGAAGGAAAAACUCCCUAUAGACCAGCGAAGGAGGGGGGCACCAUCUCCAAUUCAGUCUCCCCCCUUUCCUUCCACAAGGAGGAAGGGGCGCCUCCACCUAUUGGGCCCAAGUGGCCUAAUUCUCCGUCCACCACUUGGCCUUUUAAGGCAUGUUGUUAAAUUAAAUAUAAUGCCUCCUAACUAUUAUUAGAGCCUUUUAUUAUUAAUUGUGCAUCUCCGAAAACAUUUUUCACCUAUAUACUACUUGUCGGCAAUACCUGGUAUUGUGCGGUAGUCUACGAAACCUUACGGGUGACCCCAAAACGCUUCUCGAUCCUCUCGAUACUAUUUUGAAUAUUAAAACAAUUUAAAAAAACCAUUCUCAUAACUCCCGUCAUACUAACACUAAUAAGAUCAUGAUUACCUUAAGCUUGUGACCCCAUAGGUUUGGUAACACAUAGACAUGAACGAAGCCCGCUCGUUCAAUGACCGAUAUCGGAACAAUGGACAUCCAUAUCGAUCCCUAUGAGUAAAUGAAUGAUAUUCGAGUGAAACUUUGGUUAUCAUAUGGUGUUCCCUUUUCUUCACGAUACUUUACAAAACCCGAGAUGUAUCAGUAUCCUCUUGAGUAAUGCACAUGCUCACUAUACCAUUAUCCUUGUUACCGGUUUUGUUCUUCUUUCUCGUUGAUGUGUCCCGGCAUCCUAGUGACAUAGUCACUUGUGUCUGGCCAGACGAUGAUGGAUGUUGUCGCACUAAGAGGGCCCUAAGAAUAUAUCUCCAUUGUCGCAGGAUCAAACCCCACUCUUAAGCUAUCUAGUCCCUUGUCAAACUUUCGGAUUAACCUAUAAGUUAUCGUUAUGAUCACCUAGUUACACAUGACGUUUGAGCAACCCCAAAGCUCAUCGUACGGUAAGAAGUAACUAUUCACUCUCAUGGUCUAAGGAACUAAAUCACACAUCAACACUCUGUGUAAUAACUAGUAAGAUUCCCGUGCAUUACACGGAUAAUCAAAAUGCAUUGAUUUGAAGUAGUUUAUUUCGCAAAGUAUGUGGUGGCUAUCUCAUGUGUAACAGAUAUUAAUACGUUUCUUUGGAUAUAUUCAUUCUUCUCUUGAGAUCACAAGCAUCCAGUUGAAUAGUAAAUGCACAAAGAAUAGAAAACAUAACAAACCUAUUCUUGCAAACAAACACACUCAGUGUUCAAGCUGCAUGCAAAACUUCAUGAAGAAAUAAGACUCGUGGUGCUCUGCAAAAAAGGAGCUCAAACAAAGCUUUAAACAUAGUUUUUCAAGGAUUUGUUUACUUUUUAUAGUCCACUAUUGAUGACCCACAAGUAUAGGGGAUCAAUCAUAGUCCUUUAGAUAAGUAAGAGCGUCGAACCCAACGAGCAGCAGAAGGAAAUUACAAGCAGUUUUCAGCAAGGUAAGUUUUGCAAGCACUGAAAUAGUGGUAACAAGUUGUUUGAUAGCAAGAUAAUUGUAACAAAUGAUAAGUAGCAAUAGUAACAAUAGGUCCAGCAAGG